rnacentral:rRNA from 1 species
CAGCCGCCGCGGGAAUACAGAGGGUGCGAGCGUUAAUCGGAUUUACUGGGCGUAAAGCGUGCGUAGGCGGCUUCUUAAGUCGGAUGUGAAAUCCCUGAGCUUAACUUAGGAAUUGCAUUCGAUACUGGGAAGCUAGAGUAUGGGAGAGGAUGGUAGAAUUCCAGGUGUAGCGGUGAAAUGCGUAGAGAUCUGGAGGAAUACCGAUGGCGAAGGCAGCCAUCUGGCCUAAUACUGACACUGAGGCACGAAAGCGUGGGGAGCAAACAGGAUUAGAUACCCCUGUAGUCCCUGUCUCUUAUAC